rnacentral:rRNA from 1 species
AUUGAACGCUGGCGGCAGGCCUAACACAUGCCAGUCGAGCGAGCGGCGGACGGGUGAGUAAUGUCUGGGAAACUGCCCGAUGGAGGGGGAUAACUACUGGAAAAGGUAGCUCAUACCGCAUACCAUCAGAUGUGCCCAGAUGGGAUGAGCUAGUAGGUGGGGUAACGGCUCACCUAGGAGACGCACCCGAGCUGGUCUGAGAGGAUGACCAGCCACACUGGAACUGAGACACGUGCCAGACUCCUACGGGAGGCAGCAGUGGGGAAGAUUGCACAAUGGGCGCAAGCCUGAUGCAGCCAUGCCGCGUGUGUGAAGAAGGCCUUCGGGUUGUAAAGCACUUUCAGCGGGGAGGCGUUACCCGCAGAAGAAGCACCGGCUAACUCCGUGCCAGCCGCCGCGGUAAUAC